CUGCUGCCCGCUGGUGCUUUAUGUACCAUCCUGCCAUAAAUUGGAGCACUACUUCCUGCACGGUUACGUGCUCUUCCCGCUAAUCUUCCUACACAUUAUUGCCAGGAUAUCGGUGGUCGAGUAGCGGAGCUACGAAGGAAGAACGUUUUUCACUGGCAACUUCGAUAAAUCAAGGAGAGCAGCGAACGAGAGAGCGAGCAAAGAACGAGUCGCAUGAAUGGAACCAGCGGACACACGGGGUGGAAAACGAGGGUGAGGGAGAGAGAGAGAGAGAGAUAGAGAGAGAGAGAGAGAGAGAGAGGAACAGAGAGUGCCAAGGAAGGAAGGAGGUCAAGAGUGGAACGAAGAGAAACUGGUGAAUGAACGAGAGUCGGAUUCACUAACCUGGUAGUCCACGCAGUCCGGAAACCGAGGAGCAACUGAGAGAGAGCUAGUAAGUCUUCUAGACUUGAGGGUUAUGAUGUCCUACGGCUAGGGUGGCAGAUCACGAAUAAGCUUACGCUAAGUUCCGGUCCGCCUGCGCAACAAGUUUCUCCCUGGGACUUAAAAUCGUUGUAGCCCGUACCCUCAAUCUAAAUGAGAAGUAGUUGCGUCACUGAACUAUCGAAUUUACCAAAAAAUUAACAUUGAACUCUUUCCAAUGUUCUUUCGGGGUUGGAGACCUUCGUGGCUGACUAGUGUACGAUGAAACUCCUUAAUGCUUCAGUACUAGAUAUAUUUUUCAUUAUACGACAUAACAAGAUCUAGAAUUGAAUGAAGCUAGAAGACAAAGAAACUUAGCGAUAUUUCUCCACCGACACCGCUCAUUUCUUCAUAUCUCGAUGAAGAACCAUUAUUGUCCCAGAAGAGCUAGUCUUAUCGGAAUGGAAUAAUCAACGCAAAACAAUGCCUUUUUAGUCUUCUAACGACGUCAACAGUACUAUCUGAUGCAGGUGUUUAAGCUGUUGACGUGAUUCAUUAAUCUUUCGAAUUAACGAUUACGAGAAGGAGGUGGCAGAAAGACACGAGUUUACGUAAAACGUGUAAAGCAUGAAUUUUUGGAAAAGCACAGGGGUAAAUGUCAAUUUUAGGGCAAAGUGGUUGUGCCUACAUUCGUGCGUAUAAUCGAAGACAGGGGUGAAACCCCCUCUCUUGUUAGCCACCCACGGCAUUCCAGUAAUCGGGCUACCGUUCCCUCUUCUUCACUCUACCUUUCCCCUCGAUCUUUCAAGGCCCUUCCCCUCUGCUAACCCCGUGUCACAGCAGUGCGGCUGCUGAAUGAC